rnacentral:rRNA from 1 species
GAUGAACGCUGGCGGCGUGCCUAAUACAUGCAAGUCGAGCGAAUGGAUUAAGAGCUUGCUCUUAUGAAGUUAGCGGCGGACGGGUGAGUAACACGUGGGUAACCUGCCCAUAAGACUGGGAUAACUCCGGGAAACCGGGGCUAAUACCGGAUAACAUUUUGAACCGCAUGGUUCGAAAUUGAAAGGCGGCUUCGGCUGUCACUUAUGGAUGGACCCGCGUCGCAUUAGCUAGUUGGUGAGGUAACGGCUCACCAAGGCAACGAUGCGUAGCCGACCUAGGAGGGUGAUCGGCCACACUGGGACGGAGAACCGGCCCAGACUCCUACGGGAGGCAGCAGUAGGGAAUCUUCCGCAAUGGACGAAAGUCUGACGGAGCAACGCCGCGUGAGUGAUGAAGGCUUUCGGGUCGUAAAACUCUGUUGUUAGGGAAGAACAAGUGCUAGUUGAAUAAGCUGGCACCUUGACGGUACCUAACCAGAAAGCCACGGCUAACUACGUGCCAGCCGCCGCCGUAA